UGUUUUGUAUAUAGCGAGUGAAAUGUCCAACUUUAUCAUUAAACGUGUGGUUCAUUCCUCUUAGUCAUUUACAUUAGGCUCUAUUGAGCUGCCCGUAGCACCCAGAUCGAUAAAACCGGCUUCUCAUUGUAGCCAUGGUGCUUUGUUCAAAAAUAUUUACUAAGGAGCGAAAGCAUGGAUGUCUUUUUCAUGUUAUAUAGCAUGCAAAUAAUAUCUUCUAUGUAUAGAAUCAGCACCUUAAUAGCACAUAUAACACACCUCAGAUAGCCAGAAACAUCUUGCACAGAAUUAAAG
rnacentral:lncRNA from 1 species